AACAGUUCCCCUUGGAAACAACUUUGUUGAAACGUUGACUCACUUGUGCAUCAUUUCCAUAUAUAGUUUGUUAGCGUUAAAUUAAUCAGGAAUUUUGUGUAAAUCUGACUUGCCUUUCUCGUCCCGCUCGGAUAACUUUAGUCAACGUUUGGUAUGGGUGUAAUUUGGACAAAUUCAGAUAGAUCCUUCUCGACUUUGUUCCGUGUAUGUUUUGCAACAUAAUUGGCGUAAUCUGUUGCAGUGUCUGAUCUCAGGCUAACAUCCUCCUGUCCUCGGCUGGAUUUCCCAAAAGCAUCAUAGUACUAAAAUAAUCUUAAUUCCAUUGAAAUUAAAUGAACGAAAGAUGAUUGCAGUGCUACGAUGCUUUUGGGAUAACAAGCUCUGGUCUGGGCAUCAUUUCUGCCACCUGCAGGAGGAGGUUGAAGCUGCACGAUCAAGUUAAACUUGCUCUUCUCCUCACCUGCCCCAACAACUGUACCAACAGCCAACAUGCCCCGUUUCCUACUGUCGAAGCCAAGAGAAGACCAUCAUGACGACAGAAGAGGUUCACCUACAGGUACUGCUGUCUCCCUUGGCCUCCCAGGUGUCCCAUCCAGAGAACAUGGAAGAUUAUUUAUUUAUUUAACGAAAGGACGUACUCCGCUCUGCCACCAAGGCAUUCAGCUGGAAACGAUUCAACCUCAGAGGUUCAAUGUGAGGGGUCAGUCGACCAACAUGGUCAAACACAGGAGUUCCUUCAGCUGUUGAUGGCAGCCAUCCGAGACUGUUGUUUGUUCCAGGGGCCAGACUACUGCAAAAGCCUAAUAUUGGACUAGUAUUGUAAGAUCGCACUGUUUAUAUGUUCAAAUAUGUUCAAAUAUGACACUUUCUAUCUAGUCCUAGAACUCUGUCCUGUUGUAUCACUUUCAGUGUAGUCCUAGCAGAGUGAACUAUAAGGUCCUAUAUGCUAUAUUACUACAUAGAUAGGUGGCCUCUUAUGCGCUGUCCAUAGUAACCCCCCCCCCCAAAAAAAAACAAAUGAAUUAAUAUGGUGGUAUUAACUUGUACCAUGUUUUAGUUUUAGCGUGGGAUAAUGUACAGGCUGGUAGAGAACAUGAUCAGUGUCUGAGUGGUGAGAUAUGGCCCCACUCCCUGUCCAGGAGAACAUUUGACAUGAUCUGUGGUCUUCCGUCUGCUCCUGUGGCCCUGGAUGAGAUUACACAUCAGGAAAUACGAGCCAGGCUGGAGAAGGCACGUGACAUGUUCACGUGUUCUUUGCCGUAUAUAUUGGUUUGUGUAUGUAGCCUGAGCCCUGGGCUUGUACUCACAUAGCUUCUCAGACUAGGAGUGUUGAUCUUGGACCAGGUCCUUCCUGUACAUACAGGCAACUGCAAAAAUAAAGGAAACGCCAAUAAUAAGUGUCUUAAUAGGGCGUUGGGGGCACCACGAGCCAGAACAGCUUCAGUGCACCGUGGCAUAGAUUCUACAAGUGUCUGGAACUCUGUUGGAGGGAUACAACACCCUUCUUCCAUGAGAAAUUCCAUAAUUUGGUGUUUUGUUGAUUGUGGUGGAAAAUGCUGUCUCAGGCUCCGCUCCAGAAUCUUCCAUAAGUGUUCAAUUGGGUUGAGAUCUGGUGACUGAGACGGACACAUCAUAUGGCUUACAUUGUUUUCAUGCUCAUCAAACCAUUCAGUGAUCACUCGUGCCCUAUGGAUGGGGCAUUGUCAUCCUAUGGGGGCAAAGCCAUUGUAGCAAAAAUAAUGGCCUGCCCAGCAUUGUUAUACAUGACACUAAGCAUGAUGGGAUGUUAAUUACUUAAUUAACUCUGGAAGCACCUGCUCUCAAUCUACUUUUUAUCCCUCUUUUACUCAAGUGAGAGUAUUUAAACUUUUUGUAUUGUUUGUUGGUUUGGCAAUGCCACUGCCUGAGAAAUAUGCUGAGAAGGAUUAUCACCACAGCAAGCAAGGUACUUGGAGUCAAACAGACAGGCCUUGAUGAGAUCUUUAAGGUCAGGGCCCUCCACAAGGCUCACAAAAUAAUUUUGGACCCAAGCCACCCCCUGUACCCGGACUUUGAACUACUCCCCUCUGGGCACAGGUAUAGGGCACCCCUCAGCAGGAAAAACAGAACUAGACAAUCAUAUGUGCCAGGUGUGAUAUCUCUCCUAAAUAGCUCGGGCUAAUGUUCCUAUCGACUGACAAUAAAGUCAGUAAGUAAGUAAGUGUUUCCUUUUUUUGUCAGUGACCUGUAUACUCUUAUUCAUUAUGAUCUAAAAUGGGAAACUGAUCCUAGAUAAGCACUCCUCUGAAAUGCUUUGUGAGUACAGGCCUGGGGUUUUGAUGUGCAUUGUGAUAUCUCCUCAUGUCAUUCAACCCACAACCCUGGAGGCUGCUAGUGAGGUCAUGGAGGAAGAGUCUUCAAUCCUGCGUCCGCUGGGGGUCCUCGGCCCUGUCCAGACAUGGGAGGAAAGGGAAGACAUUGUGCGGUUUGCUGCGAGGGGCUAUUUGGAUGUUUGGUUGUCAUGUGGACCAGAGGACUGGCUACUCUGGACUUGCUAGAGGCAUCCUGCUGUAUUCAAGCAGAUGUUACUAGCCAGACCUCUCUCUGCAGUAGACCUCCUCACGCUCUUCCACGUGAACUUCUCAGCCCCCGGUAGUGAUGAGAGAAUAGCUGAGGACAUAACGUAUGGCUACUGGAGGGACUGGCUUAUUGGGGUGGAGUGGAUGUGAGUCUCUCACCGUCAAGAAGCUUCUGGUCUUCGUGUCUGGCCGGGGGGGGGGGGGGGGCACACUGGGCUUCCCCACACAGCCCACCAUGGAGUUCCUGCACACUCGGGGGGGGGGGAGAGACAGGUGUUCUCCACGCUGUACCUUGCACUCUCGUCCUCCGUCUCCCAGUCCACUCCUCAUAUCAGCAGUUCAAGGAGUCCAUGAUCUCAGACAUACUCCAGACUUAGGAGUCCAUGACCUCAGACAUACUCCAGACAUAGGAGUCCAUGACCUCAGACAUACUCCAGACUUAGGAGUCCAUGACCUCAGACAUACUCCAGACUUAGGAGUCCAUGACCUCAGACAUACUCCAGACAUAGGAGUCCAUGACCUCAAACAUACUCCAGGCGAAGGAGUCCAUGACCUCAGAAAGUACUCCAGAGGAGUCCAUGACCCCAGAAAGUACUCCAGAUGUAGAGGAGUCCAUGACCUCAGGCGUACUCCCAGACACUCAUGUUGGCUUGAGAAGCCUCACUAGAGAAACCAGGUAGACUAAGACAGUGAGCAGGUCAAUGCCUCAGACGUCUAAGAACAAGACGGCUGUUUGGUCCUUGCAACAUGUGUCCCUCCAGUUAAAGAUCAGGUGUCAGUCUGACUGUUUCUUCAUUGUCUUCAUUAACUCUGCAUUAUCUCUGGGCAGUUCCAGGUUCACUAUCUACGGUAUGUGAAGUUUAUCCAGGGUGGUCCUCCUGAGAAACAAACUACAGACACAAAACAAGAUGCUGUCACCUUCACCCUGACUCGGGGUUCCGUUCUGGAACACUUUGUUGUUGACACAUCUGAUGUGCUAAAGUUCUGUAGAUAAUAGCCCCUGUGCCAGAGGGCCAAAGAGGGAUCCACAUGUUCCAGCUUAUUGAUUACUGCUUUGGUGACUAACUUUUAUUCCUGGCUGUGAUUAGUACAUUUGUUAUAGUGCCUGUCUUUUAUUCCUGGCUGUGUUUGUGUCGGUCAGAAGUACUCAGUGGCUUUUCCAUGUCACUUACGUAAUUCUGAUUAUGUAAAUAGUUAAGCAACGAUGUGAAUAUCACCAUAUUACCCACAUUAAACCACAACACAGACCUCCAAAUAAAUGAACUUGAAGUCA